UGAAAGACCCCAGCUUAACAGCAGUAACGCCAUUUUGCAAGGCUGUACUUAAGAUGACUGGUUCAGGGAAAGGUUAGAACACUGAGUACACAGCGGCUGCCAAGCAAGAUAUGUUUGGUUGAAGGCCUGGCAACAGGACGACUUCGGUUGAGCACCUGACAAUGAAAAAAAGCCCCAGGAGAGGUCCCACACCCUGGUGGGGGGCCGAGUCAGUCGUUAUGUUCCAAGAAGGUAGCUAAGAAACUUGCCCCCGGGCUGAACCCUUGGGGGGCCGAGUCAGCCGUUAUGUUUCAGGAAGGUAGCUAGGAAACUUGCCCCCGGGCUAAACCCUUGCCAUAUUAGAAUCCACCAAUUAUAUCCCUGUAACCAUGCAUCUGCUUCUGUAUGCUUGCUUCUGCUCCCCAAAAUCCUAUAAAAGCCCAUCCUUGGUUCCGUGGGGCGCGCCAGUCCCCCGAGUGACUGAAGCGCCCGCAGGUGCCUGUGCCUGUGUAUCCCGACAAUAAACCAAAUCCUCUUGCUGAUUGCAUCCUGUGGUGUCUCGGUCUGGUCUUUGGAGUUAGAGGGUCUCCAUCCCGAGGGAAAGUUCUCCCUGAGAGCUUUUCAUCUGUAAACCGUGAAUACACAGCUGCAAGCACAGAUGAGAGACAAAGGCUCAGCAGAAGGAACUGACACAGGCAAUGAAGAGAAAAGAAUGGAAACAGAAGCUGACCUUGAAACCCUGACAGAUGCACACAUCUGUGGGCCUGCAUGUAGUUUUGCCCUGCUAACCUGAUGGGACCCUAGUUUCUAGUGUGGAGUUCCUUGAGAAUUCAGGGUCAAGGGCAGUGACAGGUUUCUCUCCCACCUCUUUGAGUUGAUGAGUCAGACUCUGAGGGCAACAGAGCUUGUGGAUGGGGAUCAUGGAAGACCAUACAUAAGUCCUAGUGUUUCAGUUGAGCCCACCCCAGCCCAUCCCAACCUCUUCACCCAGCUCCCUGGGCCUGCCAUCUUGGGGUCUCAUCAGUCCUCCAGGCUCACUUGGCCUUUCUCCUAGCGAAGAGGAAAUCGGGAAGCACACGUCUCUGUCCCUAGUGAGUCACCUCAUUCCAGAACCUGCUUCUUGGUCAGAAGAGUGCCAGUGGCGUGUGCUGCUCCCUUCCAUCAAAGCAGCUGAGAGAACCAGCUGAGGUGUGUGCGUGAGGGGCUCAGAGCAUGUGCAAGGCUGCCUGCCAUUCAUCUCCCGUAGCCUCCAAUCUCCUGCAGGAUCCAUACCCUCCCACGUGAUGGCCACCUCCCGCUCACUCUAUGCUCCUUGUCUCCAGGAGGCUAAACCCCAGCUUUCUGCAGCCAUUCUCAGACUCUACAAUGAACAUGGCAGCUGCCGGUGGCACUUACCAACAGCUGGCACUGUGGGCUAGGACUGGUGGUAAGGACUCUACAGAGAUCUUAGUUCACAGUUGUCAGCUGAGGAACAAGUGGGUUUAUUGUGCCCAUCUUAUUAGUGAGAGAUAAAAGAGGGAGGGCGUAGGAGAUCAGGUGACCUGCUCAAGGUCACACAGUCAUCUUGAGCCACAUGGUGGCUAGGCUAAAACAUCCCUACUUUAUCCAUGUGGUCUCCUGUGAGGUGACGUCACAGGUGAGACAGGUACAAGGUAGAAGGAGGCCUGUCAUUGGACGAGAAGGAAGGAUGGGUGGGAGAAGUUUGAAGGAAGAAGAGGAGGCUGGAAACGGAAAGGAGGAAGAGACAGGAGGGAAAGGGAGAGAAGCCGUGGCAGAUCAAUAUGGCGGGUGACGUUAAGAUUCCAUGCUGUGCCUUUACAAGUUGUUACGAAUGUUCUUAAGGGAUGGGUGUGUAUUGGGUUUUGUAUGUUUAUGUGGGCAAUUAUAUCUUAUCAAUUGGGCCAAA
rnacentral:lncRNA from 1 species